rnacentral:rRNA from 1 species
GAGUUUGAUCCUGGCUCAGGGUUAACGCUGGCGGCGUGCCUAACACAUGCAAGUCGAACGGUUCUAAGCGCGAGCUUAGGAUAGUGGCGAACGGGUGAGUAAAAGGUAGGAAUCUACCCCUUGGACGGAGAUAGCUACUGGAAACGGUAGGUAAACUUCGAUAAGCCCGAGAGGGGAAAGUGGUGAGACAGCCGAGGGAUGAGCCUACUCUCCAUCAGGUAGUUGGUGAGAUAAAAGCUUACCAAGCCGAUGACGGAUAACCGGUGUGAGAGCAUGAACGGUCACAAGGGCACUGAGAGACGGGCCCUACUCCUACGGGAGGCAGCAGUGGGGAAUCUUGGACAAUGGGCGAAAGCCUGAUCCAGCGACGCCGCGUGGAGGAAGAAGUCCUUCGGGAUGUAAACUUCUGAACUAGCCGAAUAAAAGGCCUGUGGACACACAGGAGAAGAAAGUAGGCUAGGAAAAGUCCCGGCUAACUACGUGCCAGCAGCCGCGGUAAGACGUAGGGGGCAAGCGUUACCCGGAAUUACUGGGCGUAAAGGGGGCGUAGGCGGUAAAAGAAGUCAUCUGUGAAAACCUAUUGCUCAACGAUAGGCUAGCGGAUGAAACUGAAUUACUUGAGGGCACCAGAGGUAGACGGAAUUACCCGAGUAGGGGUGAAAUCCGCAGAUACGGGUAGGAACGCCGGUGGAGAAGUCGGUCUACUGGGGUGCACCAGACGCUGAGGCCCGAAAGCUAGGGGAGCAAACCGGAUUAGAUACCCGGGUAGUCCUAGCCGUAAACGAUGCUCACUAGGUGUAGGGAGUGAUAAACUCUCUGUGCUGAAGCGAACGCGCUAAGUGAGCCG